ACAGGGCGCGCUCUCAGAGAUGAGCGGGGUGCAGCGGAUAUCAGAGGAAGCAAGCAACACGGUCUUUGCAACGGACCGGCUAGAAUAGGCUACGUAACCCGUCACCCGUGGGGCGCAGAUACGUGAGUGGACAGAAUAAGUUAGUGUGGCAUUGUUAAACACGAAUUAAAUUCUAUGGGACAAGAUGAGGUAGGCUAGAGAGAUUUACCCCCGUCCCGAGCGCCUGAAGUGAGACACCUUCAGACUGUGUCCUUGAUCAGCAUGAAUAGAGAGAUCCUUUUUGUCGCGCAUCUUCUCACGGACUACAGGGAUUUAUCGAUCCGAUCAGAUUACUGGGCUCUCGUUCCAUUCCAACUGUAAAGAUGAAGUCUGCUACGCUGUCAAGCCCCGCUGAAGUCAUCACCAUCCUUUGUAAAGAUGAAGUCUGCUACGCUGUCAAGCCCCACUGAAGUCAUCACCAUCCUUUGUAAAGAUGAAGUCUGCUACGCUGUCAAGCCCCGCUGAAGUCAUCACCAUCCUUUGUAAAGAUGAAGUCUGCUACGCUGUCAAGCCCCACUGAAGUCAUCACCAUCCUUUGUAAAGAUGAAGUCUGCUACGCUGUCAAGCCGCGCUGAAGUCAUCACCAUCCUUUGUAAAGAUGAAGUCUGCUACGCUGUCAAGCCCCGCUGAAGUCAUCACCAUCCUUUGUAAAGAUGAAGUCUGCUAUGCUGUCAAGCCCCGCUGAAGUCAUCACCAUCCUUUGUAAAGAUGAAGUCUGCUACGCUGUCAAUGUCACGUUCCUGACCUUUUUCUGUUAGUUUGUUGUAUGUGUUAGUUGGUCAGGACGUGAGUUUGGGUGGGCAUUCUAUGUUUUCUGUUUCUAUGUUGGUUUAAGGGUUGCCUGGUAUGGCUCUUAAUUAGAGGCAGGUGUUUGGCGUUCCUCUAAUUGAGAGUCAUAUUUAGGUAGGUUGUUUCACAGUGUUCGUUGUGGGUGGUUGUCUCCUGUGUCAGUGUUUGUCGCACCAUACGGGACUGUUCGGUUUGUUUUUGUACAUCGUCAUUUUGUGUAGUCUAUUUUUCCCUGUUCGUGCGUUCUUCGUGUUUUAUGUAAGUUCGCAUGUCCAGGUUUGUUUACUCUGUUUUGUUGUUUUGUUAGUUUAUAGUCAAGUUCGUGUUUUUUCGUCUUUCUGUAAAUAAAUUAUGUCAUCACAACCCGCGGCGCCUUGGUUCCAUCACUACUCCUCCUUUUCGGUUGAAGAGGAGGAGGACUACCGUUAGUCAAGCCCCUCUGAAGUCAUCACCAUCCUUUGUAAAGAUGAAGUCUGCUACGCUGUCAAGCCCCGCUGAAGUCAUCACCAUCCUUUGUAAAGAUGAAGUCUGCUACGCUGUCAAGCCCCACUGAAGUCAUCACCAUCCUUUGUAAAGAUGAAGUCUGCUACGGUGUCAAGCCCCGCUGAAGUCAUCACCAUCCUUUGUAAAGAUGUGUUGUUUGUUUGCAGCUCCACCAACUAGUCCAGAUGAAUUGGUUCACACCAGAGGUGGUUGCCAGCCCAGCUAAGGAUGUGUCCCAAUUGACACCCUAUUCCCUAUUCCCGAUACAACUCUGGUCCAAAGUAGUGUGCUACAUAGGGCAUAGGGUGUCAUUUGGGAAACAGACUAAGGCGUUGACUCUUCCCUUAAGUCAAAGCACCGACAGCUAACUCAUUUUUUGUGGCAAAGUGUCUCCGUUUAGGCUGAUUUUACUGACACACACAUCUUGUUAUUGACGCUAGCAGCAUCCUGUAGGAUUGAUGCCCACACCCUGGUACCAUAGAGAGGAAAUGGGAGGAGCUGGAACUGAAGCAAGAAGGGAGCAGGCUGGAUAGGAACCUAGAAUACUGGAGUGUCAUUGUUCUGUGUUGGGUUUCCAAAAUGGCACCCUAUUCCCUUUAUAGUGCAGUACUUUUGACCAGGGUGCACUAUAUAGGGAACAUGGUGUAAUUUGGAACGGAUUCUAAGUAUGCAACAAUAGAAACGUGGGGUUCUUAGCACAAUCAGGCUUUAUAACAUGUCUGUCAUAAGCCUUAAGCCACACUUUGUAUCUUGGUUUAUAUAUUGUGUUGUCUUCUUAUCAUACCUCCCCAUGGGUAGGCUGUCUAAUGUCUACAUUCUUCCUAGACAUGGGAUGUGUGCCAAAUGGUACCCUAUUGCUUAUGUAGUGCACUACUUUAUACCAGGUCGGGCUCUGGUCAAAGUUGUGCACUAUAUAAAGAAUAGGGUGCCAUUUUGGAAACACUUUUGGUAACAGAUGCUUCCCAGUCGAGCCAAUCCAUUGUCAUACCAUGCACAAUAUACCAUUGUAAGUCUCUUAUAUUAAUUCAGUGAAAAAGGGAACGUUUUUGUUGUUAUGUGAUAACAUUUUGAGUAAAGAUAUGCUUGGCACGUA